CCCUCCUGUUCCCUCUGAUGGACCACAGCCCAUAAAACCACCAUCUUGAUGUCACUCUUCCAACAGUUUUGGCCACAUCUCUAUCCACCUUGCAAAAUGACUUCCAGGCCAUGUUCUCUGGCAGCCUCCCCUUCAUCAGAGAAACCUUGCAGCAAGCAGGCAGCGAAACCACUGAGCUAAAUCCCUGGUCCUACUUAAGUGAGGCUUUCCAGGAUAGAAGUUGCCUCCCAAGCCUGAGCUCUAAAAUGAGUACAGAUGGUACAGAACUGAACCCAGCCAUCAGAAAGGAGCUGAGCCUGGCCAGUCCUAUAACUUGACACCGAGCCACAGAAAGAAGUUCAACCAAGACCAGCUGAUUUUCAGACAGGACAUACACUCCUGAGUUAAGCUGAUGCUUAUCUUGUAUACCACUGAGAGUUUAUGAUUGUUUGACAUACAUGAUUAUUGUUUAACUAAGUUGACAAGUUAAACUCCCCUGGACAAUGUGCCUCUGUGGCCUUCUCCUAUUGUUUUUUCCUUAAUGCUCUCUACUAGCAACUGCAAGCAUCAUUUUGAGGAUAACAGCCAUGGGAUAGAAAGUUGGAAGGAACCUGGGUCCUGGAUGACAGCAAGGCCACACUUACUGGGGAUCAAAUCCAGGGCCUUGCAUGUUACAGGUGUAGAUCCAAAGGAAAUGAAGCCAGCGUCCCAGAGAAACACCUACAUGUCCAUGUUUAUUGUGCUCUACUCAUAAUAGCCAAGGUGUGGACUCUGCCUAAGUGCCUGCCAACAGGUCACAAACGUUUCAAGAGACAAAGCUGUAUGGUGCCAGCUAGCUCAACUGCAGAGUGAGAUUCCCAGCCCCAUUGAUUGAACUGUCAUCUGG
rnacentral:lncRNA from 1 species